GUUUCAGAGUUUCUGGACUUAGCUGAAAGCAUCAGGGGCCAGAUCCUUUGAUUUUUUUUCAGAGCAGUUCUCAGUGCUAUAGUUACAUUAUUUGGGACUCAGGAAUUAUCUGAAUUUUGAUAGUUACAAUCUAUUAAUUUUAGUAUUUCACAGAAAAUAGGCUUGUGCAAUGAAUUUUAAGGGAAAAAAUCUACCCUUGAACAGAUUACAAAGCUCUUCCGUUGUUAAAAAUAUCAUCUAUUUCUUAAGCGGAUAAAUGGAACUGCAGAUGUCAGAGUUCACACAUUUCAAUGCUUUUUCUGAAUAAUGAAAAAAUCUCAGUUUAUUACUUUCCUUGUAGCUAGUUCAGAUACAGUGUGGUGGCAUGCCAGUGCCACGCUGGCACUCCUCACCGCAUCAGCAGGUACUGGUAUGCCUCUGCAGGGGACAGGGUGAUAGUUUAUUUUGGCUGGUGCUUAUAUAUGUUUUUUAAACUCCACAGAAAGUACUGCACCUUAGAGCUAAUUUCAAAGCUUGUCUGAUGAUGAUGGUGAUGAUCUCAGACUAUGUUUACAUGGCACCUCUGUGUAUCCCACUUCGUGGAUAAUUCAUUAAAAUAAAGUAGGUUAAGCCACCAACUGGCCAAACAGGCUCCUACUUCAUCACACAAGCUAAUAAGAAACUUCUCUGUGUUGCAGUCCCCGGUGUUCUUUCCAAGUCAGCUCCAGACUCAUUUAAUUAGAGAAGAGAAGCUGAUGUGGUGACUGGUGCUUGGGGGGAGGAGAGGUGUUACUGGAGAGAGAAAGGGCAGAGAGAAAGAAGUUCGGUUGGUUUUUGUGUUUGGUGGUUGUGUUGUGGUCAGUCUGGGUUUAAGACUCCUCGCUUUUCUUAGCACUUCAUCCAGUUAUCUUGGUCCCCAGAACUCCCUGAGCCUUUUCUGGUUAUCCCCAGUGACAGAAAGAUCAAAAUGGGCUCAACUCUGGAAUUCUAGCUCCCCCAAAGCAAAGGUGUGUAGAGCAAGGAAAUGAAGAGUCUUACAAGAGAUGAGAGAGCGUGCUGAGCUCCUCCUGCUUAUCUACAGCUUAACCAUCAGAACCAUUCUAAAUCCAGCAUUUCUAGUUUAAACAGAGGCUGUGCAGCUGCUGUGUUCUCUCUGCAGUGGGUAGGUCAGGGCCAGUGGGUAGGUUCACCCCAGGUAGCUCAGAUUUUAUUUGACAAAAAAUCUGUUUGCUGUUACUCAAAUUGAGCCUUACCUAGCAUCAGUAUAACGGCUUCUCAGCCUUCCUGCCACUGAGCAGUAAAGGCAGUUCUGUGGCAUCUUUUAUUGUGGUUUAAGUGUGCACAGGCUCCCUUAUAUGUAGGAGGGCAGCAGGCGGAGUUUCUGCUGAAAUGUGUUUUAAGUUGAAGGUCUCCCAUGCAUUGUCUCUGUGGCUGUAUUUCCCAAAGCACACACAUUUAUUUUUUUAAAAUCACGGUUUUAUUAUAAAAAAAUAUUCUUUCCGAAUUAGCUGCUAUGACUACUAAGUACUAUGCUUUGUUCAGGCUACAGCUUCAAAGCAGCGACACUGAUUCAAUGAUAAAGCUUUAAAAUCAGCAGCAUGUCAGGCAGGGCAGCUGGCACAGAUGCUUUUGUGUGUUGUGUCAGUGUGUGCCAUUUGUUUUGUUGCUCUAGAAAGCCCUAAGUAAGGAAAAGCAGUGUGCACACCUGCAUAGCUUCCUACAUCACGAUGGGGACUGCUUUUGUUAUGAAAAUGGAGCACCUUCAAACGGAGUACGAUCUAUCAUGUUGAGAGAGAGAAGUGGGCUUUUGUUCGGGUUAAUGUCAAAAGGUCUUUGUGCAUAAAUUAAAAUAUAUGCAGUAAAAACCAUCACACGUUUCUCAAAGGCAUUGCUUUUUUCCUCUGAAUUCAACAACUAUGUUUAUAUUAAAAGCAAAAUAGUGACAAACUUUGUACUGAAGUUGUAAUUGUAUCUGCAAGCUAGCAUUCUUGCUAUAGCAUUUUCUGACAGUGACAUUCUCACCCUGUUGAUACUGGUGCACUUGACCCCAGCAGCCUGAAUUUCACCCAGAGGCCUGAAAAAUAUGGGAACAAAUAGUGCAGCUAUUUGCUGUCUUAUUUCCCACCAUUCUGUGCAAAGAGCAUGCCUCUUCCUGUAUUACAUCCUCUUGAAGAUUUUCUAAUAUUGCUGCCUUCCACAAAAGACUUCUGCAGCCUCACGAGCGUAUGUGUGCAGGUGGGGAAGGGAAGUGGGGAGUCCUGUAAGUGUAUUUUGAACUAUGUAGGCUAACCAACAACUCGCAUCCAUGUUGCAGCUCAACGUUUGCUUGAAGAAAACCAAGUAUAGUAUAUCAGAAAACUUCAGUGCUGUCCUGUCUCAGAUUUACUGAGAUGAACAAAGAACAGGUCAACUUUGCAGCCUAGAGGAGCUGAACCUGUACUGUAAUUAUGUGCUGCUGCUUUGUAUAUAGCUCAAGGUCAUUUAAACAAUUUGCUGACCUUUGAUAAAAUCUUAAUUUUCUACUCAGUCAUUUCAUUGUGUUUCAUUCCAGCUCUGAGCAACUGGAAAAGAAUAAAAGGAAUAAGAAUUUUUUUUUUUUUUUUCUACUGAAAAUAUUAGUACUACAAUUGGAAGAAGGAAAAUUGGUUGUGGGUUGUUUUGUUCUGUGUGGCUCUUUUUUUUUCUUUCAUUUUUCAUAAAGCAAGUGAGUAUUUAGAAAGGUAAGACACAAAACAUAGGGUGGAAAAAAAUAUGAAUACUGACUGUUUUUAAGAGCGAAGUAGACAUUGCCCUAGCUAAGCUAGUGCCUGACAUUAUUCCUGAUACAAUUAUGAAGGUGAAGGAGGUGUUUUUCUCCUUAUUUUAUAAGGCCUCUUUUGAAUUAGUGCUCCUAAAAUGAGAAAUGUGUAUAUGUACUUGUGCUAUUGCAUGUGUAGGUAAGCAAGCAGGAGUUUGUGCGCUGAGAUUUCAAAUCUCUAUUUCUUCACUUUCCAAUGCCCUCUACGUUUUUCGGUUUGAUUAUAUAUAUAGAGAGAAAAAAGAACCUCCCUUCAUAAGAAAAGUUGGAACAUUGACUAAUUUUAACCUGUUCACCAUCUUACAUCAUGUCUCCAGUAUUUCUGUUUCUCUCACUCCUCAUGUGGCUGUGAGAAGCAAGUCUUGCAUGUCAGGCAGUUCCUCAUCUUCAAGGGGAAAAGACUUGUCAAGCCCUCAUGCAGUAAACACACUUCUUUUUAAGCAAGUCUGUCAGUAACUCAUAGGGGCUUGAGUUUUGCUUUGCAAAAAGUAAUUCUGCUGAUCAGGAUCUCUGUGUUUUAUGGAAAACAUUUGUCCCUCUUACAGGCUUGGAAAAAGGGUUGAAAUUCUCCAUUAGUUUUGCUUUUCUGUCAAAGACUUCACUUGCAAGUAAUUUCAGAUCUUGGCUAAACUAAGCACAAUUAUCGCACAUUAAAUGUGUCCUGACUUCUAGUGUCAGACUUCUUUACAAGCUAGGUGAUUUAUGUUGCUGCAUGCAGAGCAUGAAAAAACACCAGCGCAUCUGCAUGCACCACACUUCACCUUCUGCCAUGAGGAAUAUUGCUCCUUUAUCCAGCAAGGAGAUAUACCUAAGGCCUUCCUGAUAGGUUUUACGUAUAUUUUGAGGGCAGCCACUGCAAAAAUUACCUCAGAUUAUCUUCUGUGAGCCAGCGCUGGUAAAUAUUUUGGGCAAUGGCAUGAUGCGUCAUCAACCAGUGUUCCUAAUGCAGUACUAUAUUUUUUUAAAGCAUUACUUUUAUCCAUUCAGUAGUCCUUAAGGUGCAAAGAUUAUGGCAGAACUAUGAAGAAAAAACACGGGGACCACAAUUAGAGAGUUAGAGCUAGGUAAUGCAUACAGAAAAACAGCACUGUGCAUGGGUGGCCUUGUACAUGUAAGGAAGCCAUCACCGGUAAAGGCAAGUAAAGCUUGGGGUGCAGUAGAGAGCCCCCUUCUCCUUGUGUUACUCGUGCCCGUUGCUUGGCUGCCUGCUAGUCAGGCCCUGAGCUGUUGGGCUAAUCCGACUGGUGGGGAGGAAGAUGUGAGGUGAGGGAGAGAGAUGUGGGAUUAUGAGCCUGGUUUGAGGUAGGGGAUUGGGAAUGGGAACACAAAGCCGGUGGGAGCCAGAUGCAGAGAAAUGGGGACCUUCAAAAUGCCUUCCCAGAGGCAGGGUGAGACCCGGCUCUAAACCUUGCUUUUGGCUCAGUGUUGUUUGAGAUUGUCCUUAGUGUGGGAUGAAAAACAACAGGAGUGGUGAUCAGAUAUAGGUCAAAGAUGACGGGUGUCAUUGUCCUGGAAGCAUAGAAGACUGAAAAGGCACAUUUCUGACAAGAACUGUGCUUUUAAUGGUGGGUCUCGGAGCAGGGCCCACCAUGGAAGAGCCCCUCCAUGUCUCCCUCAGCUGCUGUGUGGAGACAUUGGGCCUGUGUUUCUGUGAUUAUUGGACACAAGUUUUAGGGGCCAAACUUUGUCUGGGAGAUACAAAGAACAAAGAGGAACUAAGUAUUGUACAGCAGGAACAUUCUGGGAGUUCCUUGUCUACCCACGGGAACUAUUUUCUGGCCCUGUGGAGAGCCAUGGGAUUUUUUGUUUCAUGCAGCAUUUCAAAGGGGAGUUUCUGACUACGGAUCCGUGCUGUGCUGAAGUCAUCACAGGAGCAAGGCAAGUGACUUUUUU